CAGUCGCCGCGGGAAUACGUAGGGUGCAAGCGUUAAUCGGAAUUACUGGGCGUAAAGCGUGCGCAGGCGGUUCUAUAAGACAGAUGUGAAAUCCCCGGGCUCAACCUGGGAACUGCAUUUGUGACUGUAGAGCUGGAGUGCGGCAGAGGGGGAUGGAAUUCCGCGUGUAGCAGUGAAAUGCGUAGAUAUGCGGAGGAACACCGAUGGCGAAGGCAAUCCCCUGGGCCUGCACUGACGCUCAUGCACGAAAGCGUGGGGAGCAAACAGGAUUAGAUACCCGUGUAGUCCCUGUCUCUUAUAC
rnacentral:rRNA from 1 species